rnacentral:lncRNA from 1 species
AUGAAUGAGCGUUCCUGUUGCUCCACAUGCCCACCAGCACUCGAUGUUGUCAGGGUUCUGGAUUUUGGCCAUUCUCAUAGAAUGGGAAGUGUUGGCAACACCGGCAUCAGAUUCCUACAUGGCAACAACCGGCCAGCAUUAAGGGGCAGCCCCUUCCUUUGGAUGGGUUGUGGGACUGUCAGGUACCAGCCCCUCGGUCACACCCGUGUGCAUCCCAGCAGUGGAGUGAGUGUGAGCUGCCCUUUCUUGGUACAGUCACAUUCACUUAUCUUAGUUGUCCUAUAUUGUAUAUUAUAUAAUUAUAUAUUAUUAGGUAUUUUAUAUUGUGUAUUAUGUAUAUUUAUAUUCUGUAUUACUAUAUACAUUAGGCAUUUGGGGAAUUUUUUCCCCCAAAGUAUUAACUGUCCCUAACUUUUCACUAAAGGAUUCCUCUAGUAAGAAUUUAUACUAAGAGAAAACUUAGAGUUGAUUUCAGAUUUUUAUGCAAAGAUAGCAUUAUCACACUAAUCAUAGUACUGAAACAUUGGAAGCAACCUGAAUGCCCAACAAUAAAGGAAUGGUAGAAUAAAUUAGAAUAUAUUCAUGUAGUGGGAUAAUAUGUAAUCAUUGAAAAUUCAUUUUUAUGGUAUCAGAUGGCCACUGCGUAGCCACUGUGUGUAUCCUCCAACUCUAAAACGCUGUGUGGAGGAGACUUGCAGCAAGUGUUGGGCAGCGUGUGUGUGUCUGAUGCACAUGCACCCCCGGCCAUGUCUGCUGCUGGGAAAGGGGGUGCAGCUGUGAGAGAGUUUUCUGUUUGUUUUUUUUUUUCCCCCCUGUGUGCUUUUCCAAACAGCUGUAAAUUUCCCUGUUUCUUUCAGAGUUUAUGAUGAUGGUGUUAACUGUGAAAGAAUAUAGGGCCUCAUAAAGUCACCCAAGGUUGACAAACAUGUAUUUUGUGAAUGUGUAGAAUUCUUUGUGAAUUGAUUUAUUUUCCUUUCUUUCAUUUCAGCUUUUAAAGUUCUGUAAACGGGCGCCUGGGUGGCUCAUUUGGUUAAGCGUCCACCUCCGGCUCAGAUCUUCAUUCUAGGGUCCUGGGAAUGGAGCCCCACAUCGGGCUCUCUGCUCAACGGAGAGUCUGCUUUUCUCUCUCUCUGCCCCUCCCCCCAAUUCGUUCUCUGUCUUUCUCUCUCAUGCUUGCUUUCUCCCAAAUAAAUAAAUAAAAUAAAAGUUUUGUAAACAAUUUUGUUCAUCC